ACGUGCCCAGUCGUGGGGGAUAACGCAGCGAAAGCUGUGCUAAUACCGCAUACGAUCUCUGGAUGAAAGCGGGGGACUCGCAAGAGCCUCGCGCGAUUGGAGCGGCCGAUAUCAGAUUAGCUAGUUAGUGGGGUAAAAGCCCACCAAGGCGACGAUCUGUAGCUGGUCUGAGAGGACGACCAGCCACACUGGAACUGAGACACGGUCCAGACUCCUACGGGAGGCAGCAGUGGGGAAUUUUGGACAAUGGGCGCAAGCCUGAUCCAGCAAUGCCGCGUGCAGGAUGAAGGCCUUCGGGUUGUAAACUGCUUUUGUACGGAACGAAACGGUCCUUUCUAAUACGAGGGGCUAAUGACGGUACCGUAAGAAUAAGCACCGGCUAACUACGUGCCAGCAGCCGCGGUAAUACGUAGGGUGCGAGCGUUAAUCGGAAUUACUGGGCGUAAAGCGUGCGCAGGCGGUGAUGUAAGACAGAUGUGAAAUCCCCGGGCUCAACCUGGGACCUGCAUUUGUGACUGCAUCGCUAGAGUACGGUAGAGGGGGAUGGAAUUCCGCGUGUAGCAGUGAAAUGCGUAGAUAUGCGGAGGAACACCGAUGGCGAAGGCAAUCCCCUGGACCUGUACUGACGCUCAUGCACGAAAGCGUGGGGAGCAAACAGGAUUAGAUACCCUGGUAGUCCACGCCCUAAACGAU
rnacentral:rRNA from 1 species